CUGGAGACUUGGACUCAAAUACUACAGACAAUACAGCAUACAUUUACUACCACCCUUGCCUCACGCCCAUGUAAACUUGGUACUUGUAGCUGAUACAAACUCAGAACUCUCAGCCCUCAGGGAAUUCUGACAGCUGGAGGAAAUGCUGAAAGCGUCACUUGCUCAUAGCGGGUGGCAUGCAGAGGCCCUGUACGCUUCACUUCAGACCGGAGUUCCUCGUUCCUCGUGCGAAAAGCCUGCGCAGACACUUCAGCUCCGCAGCCCUUGCUCAGAAGCUGUGCCGGACACUGUGAUUCAAGACGGCGGCUGCGGAGCUGUGAGCAACACGCAUGUGCAGGACCGCAAGGACUCCACCCCCUCCCUGCAGACCAGAAUCCCUUAAAGAAGCCCCACCCAUGGCCUGUCAGGGAGAGCGUGUCCUCUAGAGCUCAAGCUUGCACUUCUCCA